GCCAAGCGGUGAUGAUGACGACGUUAUGUCAUUCUCCUGAUAAAGACUGAUGUUUUUAAGUCACUACCUCAUCUGAGCUUGCG
ensembl:snoRNA small nucleolar RNA, C/D box 11B